GCGGGAGCCUCGGGCCGCGCUGGGCCCGGCGCGCCGCCGGCCGCCCUCGGGGGUCGGGGGCCGCUCUCGGCCCGGCGCCGUCGGAGGGGCUCCCGGCAGGUACCGCGGGGAGGAGGCGGCAGCGCUGCGCCUACAGGCUCGAUCCCCGUGCCCGUCCCGCCGCCCGGGAGCGGCUCCUGCCGGGGCCGAGCAGGUGCGCGCCCAGCGGGGCCGGGGCCGCUGUCCCGCGCGGCGGCUGCCGCAGCAGCGCUCGAUAACCCCGGCACCGCCACACGGGCAACGCCUGCUGCCUCCGCACUGUGCUCCUGGGAGGGUGCGAGUUUCUGCUAUUUUCUGAGUGCUUCAAGAAUUACUGGACAGUAUUUGUACUGAAAUUGCAACUCUGUCAUUUUGAUGGAAGCUGGUUCACUACUGCACUGCACCUGGUGUUCCUAACAUGAGAUUAUCAGGUAAAAUCUGUAUUUCUGUGCACUGCAGCAGAUGCAUUUUAGAGCCACAAUGUGUCGCUACCAAUGUUGAACAUAGCUGCCACUAGAACGUGCAGGACAUAGGAAACUGGUUUUAUUACAUAACUGUGGAUUUGUGUGCAGCUGGGUCCUAACCAGGCAAAACAGAUGCUGGAGGAGAUAAAAGGAUUAAACCGUCUGGGUUACAUGCCAUAAAAUAUUUUAUGUAGCAUCAUCUGGCACAUGUUAAUUAUGUUGUAUUAUUACUGUUUUAGAAAACAGUAGUUAUAAAUAAGUAGAUGUUUUUUCCUGAUGCUUUGAACUUGGAGCAGAAUAUUAACAGUAUCAGCAGCACGUUAAGUUUACUAUUUACCAUUAAGUGAAAGCCUAAACAAUUGCAUGAGUAAUGCUGCCUUUCAAAGGACCCUUGUCAGCAGGAGGUGACAUCUGAAGGUCCCUGCUAAAGUACACUCUGAGAAUCUGCAAUAAAUUGGCUGAUGGCAGCUUUUACUGUGCACUGAAGAGUAGUUUAACUGGAAAGCCAAAUGCCAAAUUAAACCCGGAUAAAAAUAGCCAGCUGCUCAGUUCUAUUUGUAAAAUGAGAAAUGUUCUAAAAACUUUGUGAAGCUGAAUUUUCUCCAGAUUAAAGCCAAUGAACAGUACUCUUAGAUCCAGAGUGGGUAAACUGCAGUGGGUUUUCUUAUUGUAAUAUGCAGUAGAAAUAAAUGCAAUUAAAACUUGAAAAUCAGGAUCGUUUUUACUGAAGAAGAUCAUAGUGGAAAACACUCUUUAAAGAAAAUUAAAGAUAUUUAAAUAAGUCUUAGGAUCUCCACCAGUCUAAAAUGAAACAAUUUCUCUCAUGUAUGAAGUAUUUGAGUGCACCAACUUCUUGGACUUAGAUGUCUUGCAUACUGAGCUGUGUUAUCCAUGUAUCACAGUCCUGAGGCCUCUGAAACCACUGAACACCUUUCAAUCAUUAUAUUCAUUUUCUCAACACAGUGGAGAAGUAUUUCUUCCUAGUUUUAAGGUUAUGAAGAGAAAGAAUAAAUAAUUACCUUGGAAAUACAUAAGAAACCAGAAGCAGCUGUCAAAUUAAACGUCAGGAGGUUUUUGUUGUCUCUUAAUUCGGGUGCUUUUGUAACUGACAAGUAAAAUAUUGGGAUGAAGAGGGAAGCAUACCUAAAGGAGGUCAUAUAAGAAGCAGUCUUGGAAGUUAAUUUGACUUUAUUUGAACAGAAUACAGUCACCUAGAAAACAAGCUAACUAUUUUUAAGCACUGACAGAUGCAAGAGACAGCACAGGUAAUUAUUGGAGAAGCAGUAGUUUCAUUAUCUCUUAAACUACUUAGAAUAACAAACCACAUUACAAUUUCUUAGGACAAUCUAUUUGUGAAUAUUUGCAUAUUUGCCCUAACAAGUUCUAUCAUGCAAUCAAGUGAGAUAUAAGCUAACCAGUUUUUUAAGUUUACAAACAUCAUAUUAUGCAAACAAUUUUAAGUAAAUACUUCUACCUAAUCGGAAAAAUCUGUCACCUUCCACAGCACCACAUGAAGAUCUUGUUUUAAAAUAACAUUAAAUCCACAGCAAUAGCUAAAUAUUUUAAAUACUUAUGUGUUACACUGUAAACUCUAUGUAAACACUACGUACACCAAACAAAAAAAAAA